CACGUAGGGCGCAAGCGUUGUCCGGAAUUAUUGGGCGUAAAGAGCUCGUAGGCGGUCCGUCACGUCCGCUGUGAAAACCCAGGGCUCAACCCUGGGCUUGCAGUGGAUACGGGCAGACUAGAGGUAGGUAGGGGAGAAUGGAAUUCCCGGUGUAGCGGUGAAAUGCGCAGAUAUCGGGAGGAACACCGGUGGCGAAGGCGGCAUCCUGGACCAACACUGACGCUGAGGAGCGAAAGCGUGGGGAGCGAACAGG
rnacentral:rRNA from 1 species